GCAGAAAAAGGAAGAGGAAAGGAUAUUUUUUGUCUGAAAGGUCAGUUCAUGUGGGGGAUCAAGAAGAACUGUGCUGUUGAGCCAUCAAACCACUGGAAAUUAUCAAGCUUUCAGGAUCUGACUGUAAGGAGCGCCGGAGCCUCUGAAGUCAGGUAGCAUGAGGCAGCAUCUCUUUGUCAUGGCAUCAUUCUAAAUAUGAUUGCAGCUACACAGAUAGGCUGAGACUCAGACCUCCGAGAGAAUAGGAGAAGGCAUUAGCAUAAUAAGAUGUGUACCACUAGUGAAGUUCAAGGGUGACACAAGUUUUGGAAGUAUGAUAGUUGCUGGAAAAGAGAAGAUUACUGACGCAAGAUGAUCUGAGUUGGUUGUUAUGCUGAAAAGAGCAAGGAAAUCUGUGUUUUAUUGUGAAUUGUUUCCUGUAGUGAUAAUAAUGCAAUGUGCAAAAUUUUAGUAAGAGACUCCGUGCCCUAAAGAUUGUACCUUUGAAGUACACAAGAAUGGUAAAACGUGGCAGAAGGGAAGAACUGUUAUAUUUACAGGAAACUGAAGCUCAGAGAUUUUAACUUUUUCUAAGAUCAGGCAGGAGGCUGACUCUCUGGAUCAAGUUUCUGUUGAUGUCAUCCAGAAAUUGGUGAUCAAGCUACUUGACGAUUCUUGAAAGAUGGUGAUUUGACUAAUGCACCUUCGUUGUUUAUGUUUCUACCUUUUGAAGUGAAAUGAAAUUCACUGAAUUAAAAGCUUUACUUUGGAUGGAAAUUUAAAU
rnacentral:lncRNA from 7 species